GAUGAAGAACGCAGCGAAAUGCGAUAAGUAAUGUGAAUUGCAGAAUUCAGUGAAUCAUCGAAUCUUUGAACGCACAUUGCGCCCCCUGGUAUUCCGGGGGGCAUGCCUGUUCGAGCGUCAUUUCACCACUCAAGCCUCGCUUGGUAUUGGGCAUCGCGGUCCGCCGCGCGCCUCAAAUCGACCGGCUGGGUCUUCUGUCCCCUAAGCGUUGUGGAAACUAUUCGCUAAAGGGUGUUCGGGAGGCUACGCCGUAAAACAACCCCAUUUCUAAGGUUGACCUCGGAUCAGGUAGGGAUACCCGCUGAACUUAAGCAUAUCAAAAGCGGAGGA
rnacentral:misc_RNA from 1 species